CCUACGGGUGGCUGCAGUGGGGAAUAUUGGACAAUGGGGGCAACCCUGAUCCAGCCAUGCCGCGUGUGUGAAGAAGGCCCUCGGGUUGUAAAGCACUUUCAGUGAGGAAGAACGCCUGGUGGUUAAUACCCAUCAGGAAAGACAUCACUCACAGAAGAAGCACCGGCUAACUCCGUGCCAGCAGCCGCGGUAAUACGGCGGGUGCGAGCGUUAAUCGGAAUUACUGGGCGUAAAGCGCGCGUAGGUGGCUUGAUAAGCCGGUUGUGAAAGCCCCGGGCUCAACCUGGGAACGGCAUCCGGAACUGUCAAGCUAGAGUGCAGGAGAGGAAGGUAGAAUUCCCGGUGUAGCGGUGAAAUGCGUAGAGAUCGGGAGGAAUACCAGUGGCGAAGGCGGCCUUCUGGACUGACACUGACACUGAGGUGCGAAAGCGUGGGUAGCAAACAGGAUUAGAUACCCGUGUAGUC
rnacentral:rRNA from 1 species